rnacentral:rRNA from 1 species
UACGGAGGAUCCGAGCGUUAUCCGGAAUCAUUGGGUUUAAAGGGUCCGUAGGUGGGCCGGUCAGUCAGAGGUGAAAUCCCACGGCUCAACCGUGGAACUGCCUUUGAUACUGCCGGUCUUGAAUCGUUGUGAAGUGGCUGGAAUAUGUAGUGUAGCGGUGAAAUGCAUAGAUAUUACAUAGAACACCGAUUGCGAAGGCAGGUCACUAACAGCGCAUUGACACUGAUGGACGAAAGCGUAGGUAGCGAACGGG